UUGUGAGGUUAAGCGACUAAGCGUACACGGUGGAUGCCCUGGCAGUCAGAGGCGAUGAAGGACGUGCUAAUCUGCGAUAAGCGUCGGUGAGGUGAUAUGAACCGUUAUAACCGGCGAUUUCCGAAUGGGGAAACCCAGUGUGUUUCGACACACUAUCAUUAACUGAAUCCAUAGGUUAAUGAGGCGAACCGGGGGAACUGAAACAUCUAAGUACCCCGAGGAAAAGAAAUCAACCGAGAUUCCCCCAGUAGCGGCGAGCGAACGGGGAGGAGCCCAGAGCCUGAAUCAGUGUGUGUGUUAGUGGAAGCGUCUGGAAAGGCGCGCGAUACAGGGUGACAGCCCCGUACACAAAAAUGCACAUAUUGUGAGCUCGAUGAGUAGGGCGGGACACGUGGUAUCCUGUCUGAAUAUGGGGGGACCAUCCUCCAAGGCUAAAUACUCCUGACUGACCGAUAGUGAACCAGUACCGUGAGGGAAAGGCGAAAAGAACCCCGGCGAGGGGAGUGAAAAAGAACCUGAAACCGUGUACGUACAAGCAGUGGGAGCCUCUUAAUGGGGUGACUGCGUACCUUUUGUAUAAUGGGUCAGCGACUUAUAUUCUGUAGCAAGGUUAACCGAAUAGGGGAGCCGAAGGGAAACCGAGUCUUAACUGGGCGUUAAGUUGCAGGGUAUAGACCCGAAACCCGGUGAUCUAGCCAUGGGCAGGUUGAAGGUUGGGUAACACUAACUGGAGGACCGAACCGACUAAUGUUGAAAAAUUAGCGGAUGACUUGUGGCUGGGGGUGAAAGGCCAAUCAAACCGGGAGAUAGCUGGUUCUCCCCGAAAGCUAUUUAGGUAGCGCCUCGUGAAUUCAUCUCCGGGGGUAGAGCACUGUUUCGGCAAGGGGGUCAUCCCGACUUACCAACCCGAUGCAAACUGCGAAUACCGGAGAAUGUUAUCACGGGAGACACACGGCGGGUGCUAACGUCCGUCGUGAAGAGGGAAACAACCCAGACCGCCAGCUAAGGUCCCAAAGUCAUGGUUAAGUGGGAAACGAUGUGGGAAGGCCCAGACAGCCAGGAUGUUGGCUUAGAAGCAGCCAUCAUUUAAAGAAAGCGUAAUAGCUCACUGGUCGAGUCGGCCUGCGCGGAAGAUGUAACGGGGCUAAACCAUGCACCGAAGCUGCGGCAGCGACGCUUAUGCGUUGUUGGGUAGGGGAGCGUUCUGUAAGCCUGUGAAGGUGUGCUGUGAGGCAUGCUGGAGGUAUCAGAAGUGCGAAUGCUGACAUAAGUAACGAUAAAGCGGGUGAAAAGCCCGCUCGCCGGAAGACCAAGGGUUCCUGUCCAACGUUAAUCGGGGCAGGGUGAGUCGACCCCUAAGGCGAGGCCGAAAGGCGUAGUCGAUGGGAAACAGGUUAAUAUUCCUGUACUUGGUGUUACUGCGAAGGGGGGACGGAGAAGGCUAUGUUGGCCGGGCGACGGUUGUCCCGGUUUAAGCGUGUAGGCUGGUUUUCCAGGCAAAUCCGGAAAACCAAGGCUGAGGCGUGAUGACGAGGCACUACGGUGCUGAAGCAACAAAUGCCCUGCUUCCAGGAAAAGCCUCUAAGCAUCAGGUAACAUCAAAUCGUACCCCAAACCGACACAGGUGGUCAGGUAGAGAAUACCAAGGCGCUUGAGAGAACUCGGGUGAAGGAACUAGGCAAAAUGGUGCCGUAACUUCGGGAGAAGGCACGCUGAUAUGUAGGUGAAGCGACUAGCUCGUGGAGCUGAAAUCAGUCGAAGAUACCAGCUGGCUGCAACUGUUUAUUAAAAACACAGCACUGUGCAAACACGAAAGUGGACGUAUACGGUGUGACGCCUGCCCGGUGCCGGAAGGUUAAUUGAUGGGGUUAGCGG
rnacentral:rRNA from 1 species